UACGUAGGGUGCGAGCGUUGUCCGGAAUUAUUGGGCGUAAAGGGCUCGUAGGCGGUCUGUCGCGUCGGGCGUGAAAACUCAGGGCUUAACCCUGAGCCUGCUUCCGAUACGGGCAGACUAGAGGUAUGCAGGGGAGAACGGAAUUCCUGGUGUGGCGGUGGAAUGCGCAGAUAUCAGGAGGAACACCGGUGGCGAAGGCGGUUCUCUGGGCAUUACCUGACGCUGAGGAGCGAAAGUGUGGGGAGCGAACAGG
rnacentral:rRNA from 1 species